rnacentral:rRNA from 1 species
AACACCCGGUCCCAUUCCGAACCCGGAAGUUAAGCCCUUCAGCGCCGAUGGUACUGCAUGGGAGACUGUGUGGGAGAGUAGGACACCGCCGGAC